UUAUGUAUGUAGUUUUAUAUUUGCUCAGGAUGAACGCUGGCGGUCUGCUUAACACAUGCAAGUCGAACGGAAUCCUUCGGGAUUUAGUGGCGGACGGGUGAGUAACACGUGAGAAUCUGCACUCAGGAUGGGGACAACAGCGGGAAACUGCUGCUAAUACCCAAUGUGCCGAAAGGUAAAAGAUUUAUCGCCUGAGAAUGAGCUCGCGGCCGAUUAGUUAGUUGGUGGGGUAAUGGCCUACCAAGACGGCGAUCGGUAGCUGGUCUGAGAGGAUGAGCAGCCACACUGGGACUGAGACACGGCCCAGACUCCUACGGGAGGCAGCAGUGGGGAAUUUUCCGCAAUGGGCGCAAGCCUGACGGAGCAAGACCGCGUGGGGGAGGAAGGCUCUUGGGUUGUAAACCCCUUUUCUCAGGGAAGAAGUUCUGACGGUACCUGAGGAAUCAGCCUCGGCUAACUCCGUGCCAGCAGCCGCGGUAAUACGGAGGAGGCAAGCGUUAUCCGGAAUUAUUGGGCGUAAAGCGUCCGUAGGUGGUGGGGCAAGUCGGCGGUUAAAGACUGGGGCUUAACUCCAGAAAGGCCGUGGAAACUGCACCACUAGAGGGCAGUAGGGGUAGAGGGAAUUCCCGGUGUAGCGGUGAAAUGCGUAGAGAUCGGGAAGAACACCAGUGGCGAAAGCGCUCUACUGGACUGCAACUGACACUCAGGGACGAAAGCUAGGGGAGCGAAUGGGAUUAGAUACCCCAGUAGUCCUAGCCGUAAACGAUGAACUACGUGCCG
rnacentral:rRNA from 1 species